rnacentral:rRNA from 1 species
UACAGAGGGGGCAAGCGUUGUUCGGAAUUACUGGGCGUAAAGGGCGCGUAGGCGGCCAACUAAGUCAGACGUGAAAUCCCAUGGCUCAACCAUGGAACUGCGUCUGAUACUGGAUGGCUUGAGUUCGGGAGAGGGAAGUGGAAUUCCAGGUGUAGCGGUGAAAUGACGUAGAUAUCUGGAGGAACACCGGUGGCGAAGGCGGCUUCCUGGACCGACACUGACGCUGAGGCGCGAAAGCCAGGGGAGCAAA